rnacentral:rRNA from 1 species
CUACGGGCGGCUGCAGUGGGGAAUAUUGCACAAUGGAGGAAACUCUGAUGCAGCAACGCCGCGUGGAGGAUGACACUUUUCGGAGCGUAAACUCCUUUUAUAUAGGAAGAAGAUGACGGUACUAUAUGAAUAAGCGCCGACUAACUCCGUGCCAGCAGCCGCGGUAAUACGGAGGGCGCAAGCGUUACUCGGAAUCACUGGGCGUAAAGAGCGUGUAGGCGGAUUAAAAAGUCAGAAGUGAAAUCCUAUAGCUUAACUAUAGAACUGCUUCUGAAACUCUUAAUCUAGAAUAUGGAAGAGGUAGAUGGAAUUUCUGGUGUAGGGGUAAAAUCCGUAGAGAUCAGAAGGAAUACCGAUUGCGAAGGCGAUCUACUAGAACAUUAUUGACGCUGAGACGCGAAAGCGUGGGGAGCAAACAGGAUUAGAUACCCCGGUAGUC